rnacentral:rRNA from 1 species
UAGGGAAUCUUCGGCAAUGGACGAAUGUCUGACCGAGCAACGCCGCGUGAGUGAAGAAGGUUUUCGGAUCGUAAAACUCUGUUGGUAGAGAAGAACGUUGGUGAGAGUGGAAAGCUCAUCAAGUGACGGUAACUACCCAGAAAGGGACGGCUAACUACGUGUCAG